UGCCAUUCAAAAGGUAAGAUCCUUACAAUUACUUGAUGACAACCAGUUACAGAUUUCUUUGUUCCUUCUCCACUCCCACUGCUUCAUUUGAGUAGCCUUAA
rnacentral:sRNA from 1 species